rnacentral:misc_RNA from 1 species
GACUUCACCUUGCUUGCAACCUUCAAGUUUAGCAAGAUCAGCGGUGCAACAAAUGGACCUUUGCCCACCAUAUGGCGAACCACCAAUAUUGUCACGAUCUGCAGCCUCAAAUAUUAUGAUUUGAAUCAACCCACUACUAUACGCCAUAGUUGGAUGCUGGUCUGCAGCUGCUUUGCUCCUCCAAAAUGUGAUAUUCUCAAACCUGAUAUAAGAUAGGCCAUCAUGGGCGGUAGAGCGAAAUGGGCGACGCGGUGGAGGAACGAAGCGGGAGGAGGCGACGCCUUCACUUCCGCCGGAGACAAGGUAAGCAUUUCCGACUUCUCUGAACGGAUCUCUGUUAUAGAUGUGAAUUGAGGAUUCCACUGAUGUGAAGAGUGAUAAUAGUAUAGCGAGAGUGGGAAGUAGUACCAAGCACUGGACUGAAAUGCACGCCAUGGAUGAAGGCGCAAAUCCAGGCGAUGAAUUGAGAGAGGAUGGAGAAUAGAUCGGCGAGUUUGGUGGAGGUUGAGUGAGAGAGAGAAGAUAUCGGAAUUUUAAAUCUGUUAACCGGUGAAGAUGUUGCUUCUUACGCGCCUGUAAAGCGUGUGCAC